GAAAAUCUUGGCAUAGAUAUGGAAUAAAUAUUAAUGUCUCCAAAAUCUUCUCAAAAUUUAUACUAUGGCACAAACAAGUUAAAUGUAGGUCUCUUCCUCACCAUCUAUCUUAGGUCUCUUUCUCAUAUUUUCCUCCAAUCUCUACUGCUGGGAAGGCGAGGGACAUGGAGGGGAGAGAUCACCUCAAGUAGGCACAGGCUUGAAAGUCCAAGAUCAAGGUACCAGCAUCUGGUGAGGACUGCAAUCGACUUCCAAGAUGACGCCUUGAAUGCCAUACCCACCAGAAGGCUGGUACACUGUGUCCUCACAUGGCAGAAGGCAGAAGGGAACAGAGAGACAGAUGCCUUCCAUCAAGCCCUUUGAUUACAGCAUGAAUGCAUAAGUGAGAGUGG
rnacentral:lncRNA from 10 species